CAAUAGCGUAUAUUAAAGUUGUUGCAGUUAAAAAGCUCGUAGUUGGAUUUCUGGCCGAGUGUCCCCAGGCCAGCAUGACGUUUGGUCCUGGGCGCUCUGCCAUCCUUCUGUCAACCUUCGCCUCGUUCAUUCGUGGCUUUGGGGCUCAGAUAUUUUACCUUGAGAAAAUUAGAGUGUUUCAGGCAGGCUUUCGCCGGAAUACAUUAGCAUGGAAUAAUGGAAAAGGACUUCAACCUCUUCUGUUGGUCUGAGAGGCUGUAGUAAUGAUUAAUAGGGAUAGUUGGGGGCAUUCGUAUCAACACGUUAGAGGUGAAAUUCUUGGAUCGUGUUGCGACGAACUACUGCGAAAGCAUUUGCCAAGGAUGUUUUCAUUGAUCAAGAACGAAAGUAAGGGGAUCGAAGACGAUUAGAUACCAU
rnacentral:rRNA from 1 species